UGGGGCAUAGCCAAAUGGUAAGGCAACGGGUUUUGAUCCCGUGAUUCCAGGUUCGAAUCCUGGUGCCCCAG
rnacentral:tRNA from 1 species